UACACAAUUUUUAGUUGUCUCUUUCUUCAAACCCUCUCUUCUCUUUCUCGAAAACGAAAUGGCUCCCCUUAGAGUCUUCUUUGUUUUUUUUUUUUUGCUAAGGGGGGUUUUCUUUGUUCUUAGUCGGAUCUGAUUGUUUCUUUGUUCUUACAAGUAGGUGUAAUUGUCAUGAUAAUCGCAUCUUAUAUCAUUCGUCGCGUGUUCCCUCUCUGAUUCCUUGAAAGCGAGUUUGCUCUCCCGAUUUCAUGAGUUGCGUUGAAUCCUAAUCCCUUUCCAUCAUUCAUUAUUCAGAUAGUGAUGGAUAUUUGGCUGAGGUAUUAUUUAACUUGGUUUUUAUUGAAGUUAAUCUGUGAUGGUACCAAGUAUAUAGGAAAAAGUCACGUGUUCAGAACUAUGACUUGACAAGUAUAAUUAUGAAGGAAACAUAAUCUCUUCUCUGUCAGAUUUUAGAAAGUUUUGUCUGAGAGGUGUGCGAACUUUAACUGAUCUUUGUUGUAUUUAUGUGGUGGUGUAUAAACAAGGCUAAUUAAGUGAUGGAAUCAUAGUUGAUGUUUGGUA